GACGAGCCACACAAACGUUAUUCGGAAUUACUGGGCUUAAAGGGUGCGUAGGCGGCGUAGAAAGUUGGGUGUGAAAGCCCUCAGCUUAACUGAGGAAGGGCGCCCCAAAACUACUAUGCUCGAGGGAGAUAGAGGAGUGCGGAACUUAGGGUGGAGCGGUGAAAUGCGUUGAUAUCCUAGGGAACACCGGUGGCGAAGGCGGCCACCUGGACGGUCACUGACGCUGAGACGCGAAAGCGUGGGUAGCAAACAGG
rnacentral:rRNA from 1 species